rnacentral:rRNA from 1 species
GAUGAACGCUGGCGGCGUGCCUAAUACAUGCAAGUCGAGCGAACAGACGAGGCUCUUGCUCCUCUGACGUUAGCGGCGGACGGGUGAGUAACACGUGGAUAACCUACCUAUAAGACUGAGAUAACUUCGGGAAACCGGAGCUAAUACCGGAUAAUAUACUGAACCGCAUGGUUCAAUAGUGAAAGACGGUUUUGCUGUCACUUAUAGAUGGAUCUGCGCCGCUUUAGCUAGUAGGUAAGGUAACGGCUUACCAAGGCGACGAUGCGUAGCCGACGUGAGAGGGUGGUCGGCCACACGGGAACUGGAACGCGGUCCAGACUACUACGGGAGGCAGCAGAAGGGAAUGGUAGGCAAUGGGCGAAAGCCUUGCGGAACAACGCCGCGUGAGUGGUAACGGUCUUCGGAUCGGAAAACUCUGUUAUUAGGGAAGAACAAAUGUGUAAGUAACUAUGCACGGCUUGACGGUACUGAAUCAAAAAGCCACGGCUAACUACGUG